rnacentral:rRNA from 1 species
GAUGAACGCUAGCGGCAGGCUUAAUACAUGCAAGUCGAGGGGCAUCAAGGUACACGAAAGUGUAUUGUUGGCGACCGGCGGACGGGUGAGUAAUAGGUAGGUAACCUACCUCAUACUGAGGCAUAGCUGGGAGAAAUUCCAGGUAAUUCCUCAUGAGGUUAUAUGACACAUGUGAUAUAAUCAAAGGUAUCGCAAGGUACUGGUAUGAGAUGGGCUUACUGACCAUUAGCUAGUUGGUGAGAUAAGAGCUCACCAAGGCGAAGAUGGUUAGGGGUUUUGAGAGAGAGAUCCCCCAAUUGGAACUGAGAUACGGUCCAGACUCCUACGGGAGGCAGCAGUAGGGAAUAUUGGGCAAUGGGCGGAAGCCUGACCCAGCCAUGCCGCGUGAAGGAAGACGGCCUUAGGGUUGUAAACUUCUUUACUAUGCGACUAACUAGAUUUACGAGAUAAUUCUAUAGAAUGUAGCAUAGCAAAAGCACCGGA